rnacentral:ncRNA from 1 species
GAGAGCUGGAUACACGGAAACGGGUACGUCCAGAUCGAACAGAGAGGUGCCCCGGAUAAUACCGGGCAUCGACUCUAC